rnacentral:pre_miRNA from 1 species
UAUUAAAAAUAUCAUCUAUUUGUACUAUAAAAAUUGAUAUGAUUGAUAGAAUAAUUAAAGAGUGAUACGUAGUGUAUCAUGUGUACCUCAUGUUGAUGUAUAAUUACCAAUUUGUAAUAGUAAAAAUAGAUGAGAUUUUUAAUA